AGAGUUUGAUCCUGGCUCAGGAUGAACGCUGGCGGCGUGCCUAAUACAUGCAAGUCGAACGCUUCACUUCGGUGAAGAGUGGCGAACGGGUGAGUAAUACAUAAGUAACCUGGCAUCUACAGGGGGAUAACUGAUGGAAACGUCAGCUAAGACCGCAUAGGUGUAGAGAUCGCAUGAACUCUAUAUGAAAAGUGCUACGGGACUGGUAGAUGAUGGACUUAUGGCGCAUUAGCUGGUUGGUAGGGUAACGGCCUACCAAGGCGACGAUGCGUAGCCGACCUGAGAGGGUGACCGGCCACACUGGGACUGAGACACGGCCCAGACUCCUACGGGAGGCAGCAGUAGGGAAUUUUCGGCAAUGGGGGAAACCCUGACCGAGCAACGCCGCGUGAAGGAAGAAGUAAUUCGUUAUGUAAACUUCUGUCAUAGAGGAAGAACGGUGGAUAUAGGGAAUGAUAUCCAAGUGACGGUACUCUAUAAGAAAGCCACGGCUAACUACGUGCCAGCAGCCGCGGUAAUACGUAGGUGGCGAGCGUUAUCCGGAAUUAUUGGGCGUAAAGAGGGAGCAGGCGGCACUAAGGGUCUGUGGUGAAAGAUCGAAGCUUAACUUCGGUAAGCCAUGGAAACCGUAGAGCUAGAGUGUGUGAGAGGAUCGUGGAAUUCCAUGUGUAGCGGUGAAAUGCGUAGAUAUAUGGAGGAACACCAGUGGCGAAGGCGACGAUCUGGCGCAUAACUGACGCUCAGUCCCGAAAGCGUGGGGAGCAAAUAGGAUUAGAUACCCUAGUAGUCCACGCCGUAAACGAUGAGUACUAAGUGUUGGGAGUCAAAUCUCAGUGCUGCAGUUAACGCAAUAAGUACUCCGCCUGAGUAGUACGUUCGCAAGAAUGAAACUCAAAGGAAUUGACGGGGGCCCGCACAAGCGGUGGAGCAUGUGGUUUAAUUCGAAGCAACGCGAAGAACCUUACCAAGUCUUGACAUCCUCUUGACCGGUCAGUAAUGUGACCUUUCCUUCGGGACAGGAGAGACAGGUGGUGCAUGGUUGUCGUCAGCUCGUGUCGUGAGAUGUUGGGUUAAGUCCCGCAACGAGCGCAACCCCUGUUGCCAGUUGCCAGCAUUAAGUUGGGGACUCUGGCGAGACUGCCGGUGACAAGCCGGAGGAAGGCGGGGAUGACGUCAAAUCAUCAUGCCCCUUAUGACCUGGGCUACACACGUGCUACAAUGGACAGAGCAGAGGGAAGCGAAGCCGCGAGGUGGAGCGAAACCCAUAAAACUGUUCUCAGUUCGGACUGCAGUCUGCAACUCGACUGCACGAAGAUGGAAUCGCUAGUAAUCGCGAAUCAGCAUGUCGCGGUGAAUACGUUCUCGGGCCUUGUACACACCGCCCGUCACACCAUGAGAGUCGGUAACACCCGAAGCCGGUGGCCUAACCGCAAGGAAGGAGCUGUCUAAGGUGGGACUGAUGAUUGGGGUGAAGUCGUAACAAGGUAUCCCUACGGGAACGUGGGGAUG
rnacentral:rRNA from 1 species